rnacentral:rRNA from 1 species
CCUACGGGUGGCAGCAGUGGGGAAUAUUGCACAAUGGGGGGAACCCUGAUGCAGCAAUGCCGCGUAGGUGAAGAAGCACUCCGGUGCGUAAAGCCCUGUCAGCAGGGAAGAAAAUGACAGUACCUGACCAAGAAGCCCCGGCUAACUACGGGCCAGACGCCGCGGUAAUACGUAGGGGGCAAGCGUUAGCCGGAUUUACUGGGUGUAAAGGGAGCGCAGGCGGUAUGGCAAGUCAAAUGGUAAAUCCCAGGGCCCAACCCCGGGACUGCAUUUGAAACUGCAGAACUGGAGUGGCGGAGAGGUAAGUGGAAUGCGUAGUGUAGCGGUGAAAUGCGUAGAUAUUAGGAGGAACACCAGUGGCGAAGGCGGCUUACGGGACGGUGACUGACGCUGAGGCUCGAAAGCGUGGGGAGCAAACAGGAUUAGAUACCCUUGUAGUC